CCUGCGGAAGGAUCAUUAUUGAAUAAACUUGAUGGGCUGUAGCUGGCUCUUUGGAGCAUGUGCACGCUUGUCAUCUUUAUCCAUCCACCUGUGAACAAUCUGUAGUCUUGAGGGAGGAUGAGAGCGGCCGAUUCGCUUAUCGACACUUGUCGGACCCGAUGACUGCUGUGUGAAAGCAUGGCUUUCUUCGAACCAGGAUCAGGUCGUGGCUUUCUCUCAGGUCUAUGUGUCUUCAUAAACUACAUAGCAUAUCGCAGAAUGUCAUUAAUGGGCCUCUGUGCCUAUAAAACUAUAUACAACUUUCAGCAACGGAUCUCUUGGCUCUCGCAUCGAUGAAGAACGCAGCGAAAUGCGAUAAGUAAUGUGAAUUGCAGAAUUCAGUGAAUCAUCGAAUCUUUGAACGCACCUUGCGCUCCUUGGUAUUCCGAGGAGCAUGCCUGUUUGAGUGUCAUUAAAUUCUCAACCCAUUCAGCUUUGACAGCUGGCAUGUGGCUUGGAUAUGGGGGUAUUGUGCAGGCCUCUCUUUGUUAGAGGUCAGCUCCCCUAAAAUGUAUUAGCGGAACGGUUUGCGAUCUGUCACUGGUGUGAUAAUUAUCUACGCCAAAGACUAUGGAAAGCUCUCUGUCUGUUCAGCUUCAAACAGUCCCUUGUGGACAA
rnacentral:rRNA from 1 species